AUGGCGGUCCACGACGUUGGCGGUACUUCACCGGCCGGCGGUGAUCUUCUACGACCGUUCCCCCCUCGUCCUCGAGUUGCAGCCAUGGCCUUUGGUAAGUGGUAUGCCGUGUUCAUCGGUAAGGCUCCAGGGGUUUACAGUUCAUGGGAAGAAGCCAGUGCACAAGUGGCAUCGUAUAGCAACAACAACCAUAGAGGGUUCAAGACUAGGCAGGCAGCAGAACAAGCUUACUCCGACUGGGUGCGAAAGCACGGAGGCAGCAGUGUUGACAGUGGCAAGGUUGGAGGUGUCAAAGUGGAAGGUGCUAAGGUGGAUCGUCAGUUUGGGCUGAAGUUGAAGAACUUCAGCAUCUUCGCCCAGUUCAUCGCCAUUGUUGUGUUGUGGCGUUGGUGUGCUAGGUGUGAUCAUUGUGGGUGA
rnacentral:rRNA from 1 species